rnacentral:rRNA from 1 species
CACGAUGAACGCUAGCGGCAGGCCUAACACAUGCAAGUCGAGGGGUAACGAUGGCUUCGGCCAGGCGACGACCGGCGCACGGGUGAGUAUCGCGUUUGUAACCUACCUCUGACUGGAGGAUAGCCCGAAGAAAUUCGGAUUAAUACUCCAUAAUACUAUGGACAGGCAUCUGUUCAUGGUUAAAGCCCCGGCGGUCAGAGAUGGGCAUGCGUGACAUUAGCUUGUUGGUGAGGUAACAGCUCACCAAGGCUACGAUGUCUAGGGGGUCUGAGAGGAUGGUCCCCCACACUGGUACUGAGACACGGACCAGACUCCUACGGGAGGCAGCAGUGAGGAAUAUUGGUCAAUGGGCGAAAGCCUGAACCAGCCAUGCCGCGUGAAGGAUGACAGCCCUAUGGGUUGUAAACCUCUUUUGUACGGGAAGAAACGCUUCUACGUGUAGAGGUUUGACGGUACCGUACGAAUAAGCAUCGGCUAACUCCGUGCCAGCAGCCGCGGUAAUACGGAGGAUGCAAGCGUUAUCCGGAUUUAUUGGGUUUAAAGGGUACGUAGGCGGGAGCUUAAGUCAGUGGUGAAAUCCUGCAGCUUAACUGUAGAACUGUCAUUGAUACUGGGCUUCUUGAAUGUAGUUGAGGUAGGCGGAAUGUGUAAUGUAGCGGUGAAAUGCUUAGAUAUUACACAGAACACCGAUUGCGAAGGCAGCUUACUAAACUACGAUUGACGCUGAGGUACGAAAGCGUGGGGAGCGAACAGGAUUAGAUACCCUGGUAGUCCACGCUGUAAACGAUGAUCACUCGUUGUUGGCAAUACACCGUCAGCGACUGAGCGAAAGCAUUAAGUGAUCCACCUGGGGAGUACGACCGCAAGGUUGAAACUCAAAGGAAUUGACGGGGGCCCGCACAAGCGGAGGAACAUGUGGUUUAAUUCGAUGAUACGCGAGGAACCUUACCUGGGCUUAAAUGUAGAACGACGGACCGGGAAACUGGUCUUUCUUCGGACGGUCUGCAAGGUGCUGCAUGGCUGUCGUCAGCUCGUGCCGUGAGGUGUCGGGUUAAGUCCCAUAACGAGCGCAACCCUCAUCAUUAGUUGCCAGCGGGUAAUGCCGGGGACUCUAAUGAAACUGCCGGUGUAAACCGAGAGGAAGGUGGGGAUGACGUCAAGUCAG